GCAGGGUGCAGUGGCAUAUGCCUGUAGUUCUAGCUACUCAGGAGGCUGAGGCAGGAGGAUCGCUUGAGUCCAAGAGUUCUGGGCUGCAGUGCGCUAUGCUGAUCGGUGUCCGCACUAAGUUCGGCAGCAAUAUGGUGACCUCCCGGGAACGGGGGACCACCAGGUUGCCUAAGGAGGGGUGAACCGGCCCAGGUUGGAAACGGAGCAGGUCAAAACCUAAUCUUCCUCUUUUGAUGAUAAAGGAAUUGUUACAGGCUUAACUGCAGAACUGGGCAAACUAUUAAAAAAAAAAAAAAAAACCUUCUCU
rnacentral:SRP_RNA from 1 species